rnacentral:rRNA from 1 species
UAGGGAAUAUUGGACAAUGGGCGAAAGCCUGAUCCAGCAAUGCCGCGUGAGUGAUGAAGGCCUUAGGGUUGUAAAGCUCUUUUACCCGGGAUGAUAAUGACAGUACCGGGAGAAUAAGCUCCGGCUAACUCCGUGCCAGCAGCCGCGGUAAUACGGAGGGAGCUAGCGUUGUUCGGAAUUACUGGGCGUAAAGCGCACGUAGGCGGCUAUUCAAGUCAGAGGUGAAAGCCCGGGGCUCAACCCCGGAACUGCCUUUGAAACUAGAUAGCUUGAAUCCAGGAGAGGUGAGUGGAAUUCCGAGUGUAGAGGUGAAAUUCGUAGAUAUUCGGAAGAACACCAGUGGCGAAGGCGGCUCACUGGACUGGUAUUGACGCUGAGGUGCGAAAGCGUGGGGAGCAAACAGGAUUAGAUACCC